CACAGAUUCCACACCGAAGAGAGCGGUCGGACCAACCAAAGUGCCCGGGGCGCGGCGGCGGCACGACCAACAGCCUCGCCGCAGGGCACCUCCUGCCAUGACGUCUUCUACUGUUGGUUUCCAUUGGUCUGCCUCACCAAUCCCGGCACCCCGUCUACUGUGCGUACGCGGUCACACGGACUUCCGUCUCUUGUGUUGCUGACCAGCUGCUCGACGAAAUGGCUAGCCUGACCCAGUCGAAGAAUGACAGGAGAAACGACGAGGUUCAGACAGGAUAUAUGCCAGCUUUGUCCAUCUAUUCAAUCGGCUCCACAAAGAGCAGUCUUAUGGCAUCUUUGAUUGUGUCUGAAGCAGUGUAUCCAUCGUUAAGCUUGUACAUAUUACCCGAAGCCCGAGCAAAAUGAAGUAUCGUCUGUGACACGACCAUGGGUUGGUUCUUCGCCGCAAGAGAAUGUUCUAACAUAUCCUUCCAUGAAUCUUCGAUAAGUCCUUUAAUCUGUUGGCAUGCAUCAUGCAUUGUUGUCCCAUGCUCCUUCAUGUAACACUGGACAGUAGAGACAGAGUGGUCCCCUGCUUGCUCACGCUGCAAAAAUAUGGUUGUAAGUCAAGGCAUAUGGCAAUAUGGAAUUUACAUCAGCCGAAAGUGUCAUGCAGGAAUACAUCUGCCAAGUUGAUAGAUAAUGGAUCUUAAUUUAUCAUAUCUAUUAAAAGAAGGUAAAACCGGAGCGAAACCAAGUGCAGAUUAUCAUCAUCAUAGUCAGAGAUGGAAACAACAUCCAGUAGCUUGUUGAUCUCAUUCUCGUAGAGGUAGUCCAAACCAAGUCGUUCUAGAGUGAUUAUCAGAUCUAGUAUUUUUGGUAUUUCAUUUGAAUCUCUUAUAAUCGCUCUUACUUGUUCCCUUAACACUUCAGCCCUUUCUUGCAUUUGAGUUUCCUGCCAGGACAGACAACAGACAAGUAUUAGUUGAUCUUAUAAACCACUAGUGGUUUGGGUCAUAAUUUUAGGAUGAACCACUGCUAGCUGCUAGCCUGUGAACAUAUGACAUUAAGCCAUCCUAUUAAACAAGUCAGAUGUGUCUGAACAUGCAUGCAAGUGUACAUGUAAAAUAUCAUCCGUAGAGCCACUUCGGAGUAUUCAAAAUUAAGUUAUGAAUUUUUGUGUG